AACCUCCGCAAUGUGAGAAAUCGCGACGGGGGGAUCCCAAGUGCCAUUCUUAACGGGAUGGCUUUUCAUUAGUGUAAAGAGCUUUUGGAAUAAGGGCUGGGCACGACCAGUGCCAGCCGCCGCGGUAACACCGGCAGCUCUAGUGGUAGCAGUUUUUAUUGGGCCUAAAGCGUCCGUGGCCGGUUUAAUAAGUCUCUGGUGAAAUCCUGUAGCUUAACUGUGGGAAUUGCUGGAGAUACUAUUAGACUUGAGACCGGGAGAGGUUAGAGGUACUCCCAGGGUAGAGGUGAAAUUCUGUAAUCCUGGGAGGACCGCCUGUUGCGAAGGCGUCUAACUGGAACGGUUCUGACGGUGAGGGACGAAAGUUAGGGGCGCGAACCGGAUUAGAUACCCGGGUAGUCCUAACCGUAAACGAUGCGACGUUGGUGUUGGGGUGGCUUUGAGCUGCUCCAGUGCCGAAGGGAAGCUGUUAAGUCCGCCGCCUGGGAAGUACGGUCGCAAGACUGAAACUUAAAGGAAGU
rnacentral:rRNA from 1 species